rfam:Chloroflexi bacterium RBG_13_53_26 RBG_13_scaffold_1698, whole genome shotgun sequence.
UGUACCUUUAAGUCAGUCCGGCGAGGCUGGCAAGGGAUAUGGAGCCACAAGCCCUCCAGAGAUAAGGGCAAUAUAGGGGCAGUUAGAUUAAAAACCUCUUGCCAGCUUGGCAGGAGGUUUUUUGUGU